UACGGAGGGUGCGAGCGUUGUCCGGAAUCACUGGGCGUAAAGGGCGCGUAGGCGGCCUGAUAAGUAGGGGGGUGAAAAUCCUGCGGCUUAACCGCAGGGCUGCCUUCUAAACUGUCAGGCUUGAGCACAGUAGAGGCAGGUGGAAUUCCCGGUGUAGCGGUGGAAUGCGUAGAGAUCGGGAAGAACAUCAGUGGCGAAGGCGGGUCUCUGGGCAUUAACUGACGCUGAGGAGCGAAAGCAUGGGGAGCGAACAGG
rnacentral:rRNA from 1 species